rnacentral:rRNA from 1 species
AUACGGAGGAUCCAAGCGUUAUCCGGAUUUAUUGGGUUUAAAGGGUGCGCAGGCGGCCAUUUAAGUCAGCGGUUAAAUCGUGGGGCUCAACCCCAUUCUGCCGUUGAUACUGGGUGGCUUGAUUGCGGUCGAGGUUGGCGGAAUUCGUUGUGUAGCGGUGAAAUGCAUAGAUAUGACGAAGAACACCGAUUGCGUAGGCAGCUGACCAGACCGCAAAUGACGCUCAUGCACGAAAGUGCGGGGAUCGAACAGGUUUAGAUACCCUGGUAGUCCGCACAGUAAACGAUGAAUACUUGUUUUCGGCGAUAUAAUGUCGGAGGCAAAGCGAAAGCGAUAAGUAUUCCACCUGGGGAGUACGCCGGCAACGGUGAAACUCAAAUGAAUUGGCGGGG